GUGCUUGCUUUGGCAGCACAUAUACUAAAAUUGGAAUGAUUCGGAGAAGAUUAGCAUGGUCCCUGUGCACAGGGAUGACACACAAAUUUGCAAAGUAUUCCAUAUUUUU
rnacentral:snRNA from 1 species